UACGGAGGGUGCGAGCGUUGUCCGGAAUCAUUGGGCGUAAAGGGCGCGUAGGUGGCCCGGUCAGUUUGUGGUGAAAGCGCGGGGCUCAACUCCGCGUCGGCCAUGAAUACUGCUGGGCUGGAGCACUGUAGAGGCAGGCGGAAUUCCGGGUGUAGCGGUGGAAUGCGUAGAGAUCCGGAAGAACACCGGUGGCGAAGGCGGCCUGCUGGGCAGUUGCUGACACUGAGGCGCGACAGCGUGGGGAGCAAACGGG
rnacentral:rRNA from 1 species